UUGUCUUGCGCAGGGUUACAUAAGGAAACUAAGAUAUGGCAGUAGAACCUGUGCUUACUUUCGCGACCGAGGGAAUACUGACGAAGCUGACUUCCCUUGCUGCUGACGAAAUCAGUCUUGCUUGGGGAUUCAAAGCUGAACUAGGGAAGCUCGGUGAAUCCUUAUCCAUCCUUCAAGAUUUCUUAGGAGGUGCUGCUGAGAAGGCAAAAGAAUGAGAAGGCACAAGAUGGUGGCAAGGCAGUGGAACGCUGGGUGAAGAAACUUAAAGACAUAGCUGAUGAGGCUGAUGAUGUCUUUGAAGAACUCAACUAUGAACGUCUCCGGGGAGAAGUAGAACCGCAUAACGGUAUGGGAAAACAGAUUCUCAACUUAUUUUCUCCACAAAAUGAAAAUAUGGCACAUAGAAUUAAAAAAAUCAACGCUUCUAUGGAGGAGCUCAAGAAGGAUGCAGCUUUCGUCGGAUUAAUUGCAAUUGCAAAGAAAAAAGAUGCAACCCCUCAAAGAAUUAGAGAGGACCGAGAGACCAACGCAUUCAUUGGUAAAGAUGAAAUCAUCAUUGGAAGGAAGGACGCUGUGUCAGACAUAGUUACAACAUUGACUAACUCCAACAUGAAUCAAGAAAAUCUGUCGGUCAUGGCGAUUGCGGGAAUGCCAGGACUGGGAAAGACAACUUUGGCCAAGUCAGUGUACAAUGAUAAUUCAGUAACAGGGUAUUUUGAAAAAAGGAUAUGGGUGUGUGUGUCUGAUCCUUUUAACAUCAAUGUGAUUUUGAUAUGCAUGUUAGAAUCUCUUAACCCAUCAAAAGCCAAUGUAAGAGAAAAUCAAGAUGCAGUGCUUAAAUACAUUGAAGAAGAGUUGAGAGAGAAAAUAUACUUGCUGGUACUUGAUGAUGUUUGGAAUGAAGAGUCUGAGAAAUGGGAAAGGUUGAUGAGCUGUUUGUCAAAGUUGAAUUCUGCUCCAGGAAGCAAAAUUAUUGUCACUACCCGCAGUGGCAUAGUUGCAUCACUCACAGAAACACUUCCGCGGCCUAAAUUGGACCUUCUAUCAACAGAUGAAUGCUGGUCCAUAUUGAAACAUGCAGCUUGCUCAGAUGGUAGUUUAGAGGGAAUUGGACGGGAGAUUGCUAAAAAGUGUGAAGGUCUACCAUUGAUGGCACAGGUACACGUACUAUAUAUUAUACACAAGCAUUAUGACUUGAUUCAACUUUGGAUGGCUCAAGGAUUCCUCCAUCCUUCUGAAAAAAGUAAUCUAGAGAUGGAGGAUAUAGGUAAUGAAUAUUUUGAUAUUCUAUUCCAAAGAUCCUUAUUUCAAUAUGCUGAACUGGAUGAUGACGACAUUGUUAUUGAAUGCAAGAUGCACGAUCUCAUACAUGAUCUUGCAGAACGUGUAUCCGAAACUGGAAGCAUGAUGCGAGACUUCCAUGAGGAUGAAGAUGUUGCAACUCCCAUUAUAGAAAGAAUUCCAGAAGGAAGUAGUGGGAAAUUGAGAUCACUGUUUUCGAAUGCUAAAGCACUACCUGGAAACAUGUUGCCAUGGUUUAAAGCUUUACGUGUCUUGAAAUUAUGUGGGGCAUAUAUUGAGGAGCUUCCAAGUUCAAUUGAAGAGCUGAAACGCUUGAGAUAUCUUGACAUUUCCUGUACAGAAAUCAAAAGACUCCCAAAUUCUAUUGGCAAGCUGUAUAACCUACAGACAUUAAGAGCAACAUACUGCGGUCUUGAAGAAUUUCCAAAAGACGUGCAAAACUUGAUCAACUUGAGACAUGUUUAUUGUGAUAAGGAAACGAAAUUUCCAGCUGGAGUAUUAGGGAGAUUAACUAGCCUUCGAAAAUUACCUUAUUCUUAUGAGGAUAAUGAGGUGAUGGGUAGGGAAAUUGUGGAGCUGGCUGCCUUGAAUCAAUUGAAGGGUAAAUUGAUUAUUUGUAAUUUGGAAGACGUAAGGAAUGGAGAUGAGGCAAGUAAAGCUAAAUUAGAGGAGAAGAAAAAGGUACGCCACUUUUUAUUUGAAUGGACGAAAAACAGGUCAACAACCAAUAAUAAUGAAGAGGAUGUACUAGAAGGCCUCCAGCCGCAUUCUGAGUUGGAAAGGCUAGAGAUUAAAUAUUUCAUGGGUACUAAAUUUCCAUCAUGGAUGAUUAAGCUUGGCAAUUUAAAGCAGAUUAAGCUUAAGGAGUGCAACAGAUGUGAAAAAAUUGAAUGGAUGGAAGCACCAGAACAAGUCAUGGCAUUUCCUCGGUUGGAGAAGCUGGAGAUCGAGGAUUGUCCCAAAUUGAGAAAGGCUCCCAGUCAUCUUCCAUCUCUUCGAAAGUUGGUUGUAUACAGUUGCCCUAGUCUACAAUUUAUUCCAGAUUUGAACCUCUUCCCAUCCCUCCGUGAAUUGAACAUUGAAUCUUGUGAGAGAUUAGAGAGUUUGGUUGUAGUGGUCUACAAUCUAUUCCAUAUUUGA